CAAUAGCGUAUAUUAAAGUUGUUGCAGUUAAAAAGCUCGUAGUUGGACCUUGGACCUGGACAGGCGGUCCGCCUCACGGCGAGUACUGUCUUGCUGGGUCUUUCCUCUUGGUGAUCUGUCGUUUCGGCAGCAGGGAACCAGGACCUUUACUUUGAAAAAAUUAGAGUGUUCAAAGCAGGCUCGACGCCGGAAUAUAUUAGCAUGGAAUAAUAAAAUAGGACGUGCGGUUCUAUUUUGUUGGUUUUUGGAAUCGCCGUAAUGAUUAAUAGGGACAGUCGGGGGCAUUAGUACUCACAUGCUAGAGGUGAAAUUCUUGGAUUUUGUGAAGACUAACUUCUGCGAAAGCAUUUGCCAAGGAUGUUUUCAUUA
rnacentral:rRNA from 1 species